rnacentral:lncRNA from 1 species
CAUGACCAGACCCCGCAUUGCUGUCCCACCCCUCCAACAGCUUUCCACCAGCACCUCCCAAUGUGCAGCUCUGGGAGGGCGGGCAGCCCUGGCAUCUCCCUUUCUGCCUCCUUCUCUGGCUUUCACCCCAUGCACCCCAGGCUCCACCUGCUCGUUUGUAGACUGCAAUGCUGAGAGGCAGCAUUUUUUGGCCAAAUACUGGGUUUUGCCAAGCCUGUCCCUCCAAGUGAUGUGCACUCUGCUGCACGUGGCACUGCUAGUCAGUUCAUUAUCCUAUUAGAUUCCCACACAGCACCUGCUCAAUUGGAGCCUCGUGUGCUGGCAAUUAAUAUGUUAUGCCCUGAUUAAUUAGCAGGGUUAAUUAUGAUUGCUGUUGCUUAAACCUAUGUAGAGAGAGAUGGCAUCAUGUUGCUGUGACUCGCAGUGCUGAGGAUGCACCCCUGGGAAUUGGGACCAGCACGUGGUGGCACCUCUCUGCUACUGGAUGAUGAAAAUGAACCUAACCAGUUGGUGCCACAGGCACUGAAGGGAAUGAGGUCUCCUGCAUUUUUGCCUAUGUUUUAUCCAGUGGAACAUAAAGUGCAUUAUUUACAAGCUUCACAGGUGCAGGUGCUGGUGUCCACAGUGGCAAGCCACAGCCAGGUGCUGCCGCAGCUUGGGAACAGGGGGAUCUGGAUGCAAGCAGCAAAGCCAAGGGGGUCAGGCAGGCACCACAGGAGGAACUUCUCAGCUUGGCAGCCAGAAAAGCUAGACAAGAACAGCACAGUGUGUUGUCUCCUACAUGCUGUUCUGUUCUAACAACAUCCAUCAAGACAAAUGCAUACCUGAGCACAGCCUCCCUCAAACCUCAGAAAUCUUUUUCUGAGGUCACAAACUACAAAAAAAGACAAAGAAGAAACAAGAAGGAAAUUGUGCAAACAAUUAAGUAUUUUUUUUUCAAGAGACAUAGAGGAUUCCCCUUGUCUGCACAAGGCAAGCACCAAAAUAAGAAUGCCACAUCUCAAACACAAGGCAAUCUAUUAUUCUCAGAGCAGUAACAUGAUACAUUAUCAGCCACCUUAUCCUAGCAAAAUGUAUCAUUACCUGCACUUUCUGCACUUUCCAGAUCAAUCCACUUUAAAAAUGUAGUAAUAUAGAAGGGUAUUAGGUACUAGAAAACUCAUUAUGAAAAUGGCGCACUCAAAUUCUUUAAAGGUGAUAUUUCAUAAAAUAUACUAUGCCUAGCUCUUGGCUCAAUCAUUCUUUUUAAUAGCUCCAUAGCAGCCAGAAAAUAAAGUAUUCAUGAAGAUUGAAGAAGAUGAUCCC